rnacentral:lncRNA from 10 species
GAACUGUACUCCAGAAGCUAUACUUAAAGAACUACAUCUGAGGAGCAUUAUGUGCACCUGGACCUGGACCUGAUCUCAGUGAUGAGAAUCUAGACUUCAAACUGAUAGUGUAAUGGGAUGAGACUUUUAGGGGCCUUGGGAGGAGUGAGUGUACUUUGCAUAUGGGAGGAAUAUCAAUAGUUGGUGGAAAGAGGGAGAACUGCAGUAGCUGUGAAAUUUGUCCACAAAUUUUUUGCUACUCCUUCCUUUCAAAGGAAGACCCUAUUUCCCUUCCCCUUGAGGGUGAGCUGCUUUUACUGUCUUGUUUCUAAUGAAUAGGAUAAAGAAAUUCAUCAGUGACUCGCUUCUAACGAAUAGAAUAAAGCAAAAGUGAUUGUGACAUUUCAGAGACUAGAUCAUAAAAAAGACAGUGCGGCUUCCUCUGUGCUCCCUCUCUAGUGGAGCACUCACUCUGGGGUAAGUUAGUUGUCAUGUCCUGAUGGCAUUCAAGUAACCUAUGGAGAGGCCCACAAUUUGAGGGACUGAGGUCUUCUGCCAGCAGCCACAUGACUGAGCCAUCAGUGAAGCAGAUCCUCCAGCUCCAUGCAAGCCAUCAGGUGACUGCAGACAGUGGCAGAUUUGAUAGAUGAGACUUCUUUCUAGGCAGGCUGACUAAACUGGUGACUUUGAGUGUGUGUGGGAGCCACCUAGUAUAUCUCAUGACUCAGAACUUACAUGAGUCACUUCUAAGGCUAAUAAUGAGCUUGCAAGGUUAGAAGGGCUGUGUCUCCCUAAAGUCUGCUUUUAGACACACAUGCACCAGCCUUGUGCCUGUUCUAGGAUAGGUUGUGUGCUUUGUCUUGGGUACCCUGCUAUCACUGUUGAGAAAUUUCUCAGUCCACUGGGAGAAGAAAAUUGUUCAUUUCCAUGCUCACACUUCCUCUGCUCUCUCUGUCCUGAUUGGCUAACCAUGGUACUGGGGUGAGAAAGCUGAGACUAGUGGUGUUGCUAGAGCGAGGUUGUCUUGACUUAGAAGAGCUGAUUGUGAAAUUUUCAGAAAUUUUGCUUGCUGAUUAUUAGUCACAGCCAUUAUUAAAAAUUAAUGUACAUGGCAUGAAGCAUAUAUGGCAAGAUGUUAGUGAAUCUAACUGGUGUGUAUAUGGGUGUUCAAUGUGCUAUUUUUUCCUAUUUUCUGUAUGUUUAAAAGUAUAUAUUUAUUUUUUAAAAUUAAAAAGGCAACACAAACAAAAAAAUUAAUGUACAUGAACUUACUAUUAAAUGCAUUACAUUAAAACAUAGAUAGCAAAUACUCAAAACUAAUCAAUCACUUCCUAGUUAUUUUACUACACUCUUACCUACACUUUUUUUUUUUUUUUUUUUGAGACGAAGUCUUGUUCUGUUGCCCAGGCUGGAGUGCAGUGGUGCAAUCUCGGCUCACUGCAACCUCUGCCUCCUGGGUUCAAACAAUUCUCCUGCCUCAGCCUCCCGAGUAGCUGGGAUUACCGGCAUGCACCACCACACCUGGCUAAUUUGCCUGGCAAUGUUGGCCAUGCUGGCCAUGUUGGCAAGGUUGGUCUUGAACUCCUGACCUCAGGUGACCCACCCACCUUGGCCUCCUGAAGUGCUGGGAUUAUAGGUCUUAUCUACACUCUUGAAGUUAUUUUGUCCAUUCUGUAUGUAUGGUGGAAAUACUGAAUAUACAUAUAAUGGUAUGUUCCUGUACUUCUGCUCAACUCUGCAUUCAGUGAUACAACAUUGAUAGCAUGAAAUCAGCCAUUGUGGGAGUAUUUGCAGCAUAGAAAUCAGCAAAUGCUACAGGUCUGACUUUUUUUUCUCAGA